AAAUGACAAUGACUCAGCGAAAAAGAUUAACACCCAAAAACCACUGAAAUGGUUCGGACGUCGGCACUAAGUGAACGAAAAACUAAAAUAUGAUGGUAGAAGCAUUAGUAUGAACAUGACUCAGCAAAAAGGACAGUGAGUCAGC
rnacentral:lncRNA from 1 species